rnacentral:rRNA from 1 species
CACGUAGGCACCAAGCGUUGUCCGGAUUUAUUGGGCGUAAAGAGCUCGUAGGCGGUUCGAUAAGUCGGGUGUGAAAACUUUGGGCUCAACCCAAAGCGUGCAUUCGAUACUGUUGUGACUAGAGUUCGGUAGGGGAGUGGGGAAUUCCUAGUGUAGCGGUGAAGUGCGCAGAUAUUAGGAGGAACACCGGUGGCGAAGGCGCCACUCUGGGCCGAAACUGACGCUGAGGAGCGAAAGCGUGGGUAGCAAACAGG